rnacentral:rRNA from 1 species
AUUGAACGCUGGCGGCAGGCCUAACACAUGCAAGUCGAGCGGAUGAAGGGAGCUUGCUCCUGGAUUCAGCGGCGGACGGGUGAGUAAUGCCUAGGAAUCUGCCUGGUAGUGGGGGAUAACGUCCGGAAACGGGCGCUAAUACCGCAUCCGUCCUGAGGGUGAAAGUGGGGGAUCUUCGGACCUCACGCUAUUAGAUGAGCCUAGGUCGGAUUAGCUAGUUGGUGGGGUAAAGGCCUACCAAGGCGACGAUCCGUAACUGGUCUGAGAGGAUGAUCAGUCACACUGGAACUGAGACACGGUCCAGACUCCUACGGGAGGCAGCAGUGGGGAAUAUUGGACAAUGGGCGAAAGCCUGAUCCAGCCAUGCCGCGUGUGUGAAGAAGGUCUUCGGAUUGUAAAGCACUUUAAGUUGGGAGGAAGGGCAGUAAGUUAAUACCUUGCUGUUUUGACGUUACCAACAGAAUAAGCACCGGCUAACUUCGUG